rnacentral:rRNA from 1 species
UGGGUGAGUAAUGUCUGGGAAACUGCCUGAUGGAGGGGGAUAACUACUGGAAACGGUAGCUAAUACCGCAUGACGUCGCAAGACCAAAGUGGGGGACCUUCGGGCCUCACGCCAUCGGAUGUGCCCAGAUGGGAUUAGCUAGUAGGUGAGGUAAUGGCUCACCUAGGCGACGAUCCCUAGCUGGUCUGAGAGGAUGACCAGCCACACUGGAACUGAGACACGGUCCAGACUCCUACGGGAGGCAGCAGUGGGGAAUAUUGCACAAUGGGCGCAAGCCUGAUGCAGCCAUGCCGCGUGUGUGAAGAAGGCCUUAGGGUUGUA